UAGGCACUUCCUUUACCCUCUC
rnacentral:siRNA from 1 species